AUUGAACGCUGGCGGCAGGCCUAACACAUGCAAGUCGAGCGGAGCGGCGGACGGGUGAGUAAUGCCUAGGAAUCUGCCUGGUAGUGGGGGAUAACGUCCGGAAACGGGCGCUAAUACCGCAUACUAUCAGAUGAGCCUAGGUGGGAUUAGCGAGUUGGUGGGGUAAAGGCCUACCAAGGCGACGAUCCGUAACUGGUCUGAGAGGAGGAUCAGUCACACUGUAACUGGUACAAGGUCCAGACUCCUACGGGAGGCAGCAGUGGGGAAUAUUGGACAAUGGGCGAAAGCCUGAUCCAGCCAUGCCGCGUGUGUGAAGAAGGUCUUCGGAUUGUAAAGCACGUUAAGUUGGGAGGCGUUACCAACAGAAUAAGCAACGGCUAACUUCGUGCCAGCCGCCGCGGUAAUUC
rnacentral:rRNA from 1 species